rnacentral:misc_RNA from 1 species
CGCACAUUGCGCCCGCUGGUACUCCGGCGGGCACGCCUGUCCGAGCGUCAUUUCAACCCUCAGGCCCCGCCUUUACCGGCGCGGGACUGGUGUUGGGGCCCGGCCGCCUCCUCUGGCGGCCGUCCCCUAAAUACAGUGGCGGUCACGCCGCAAUCCCUUGCGUAGUAAUUACACCUCGCACUGGAGAGCGACGCGGUCCACGCCGUAAAACCCCCAAUUUUUAAUGGUUGACCUCGGAUCAGGUGGGAAUACCCGCUGAACUUAA